GGUGCCUUAAAGGGCCAGCGCCUGAGAACCAGCGCAGGUGGAGCACAUGGGAAUGGGCCACGCGGCCGGCAGGGCCGGCUGGCGCUCUUGGGUGUUCGCGCCGGACCCGGGAAGGAGUAGUUAGGAGCACCCUCGACUCCCAGCAGCUAAAGAGUGGUCCUGAUCCGCUCCGAAGACGCGCCGACACCGCCUCCUGUCCGGUGCCCAGAGGGCCUGGCCCCCUCCAGGCCCCGCCCGGGUGACCUUGGGCCUGCCGCCUCACCUCCCGGGCUGGGGUUCGAUUCCGGGCCAGCCGGGAAGGCGAGCCUGACCCUAGGCGGCAGCGGGCGCCCCCCAAGUGGGAACAGAAUUGCCUGUCGCCCUCACCCUGGCCACGAACCCGAGUGUCUGAGAAAUGUGAAUUUUGUUUUUUUCUAAAGAACUGCUUUGGACAGAGUGGAACCAACACGCCAUUGGGAUUCCCCGAAGACAGAUUUUUUGCCCCGGCCCUGCCCCUUCCCGGCUCUGCCACAGUCCGUUCUAUCUCCGUGGACCUCCUUUUCUCCUUUGUAAAGUGAGGGAGCCUGGUGUGACAGUGGUGUCAAACUUUUGGUGGACAUUUAAUUCAACAAAUAUUUGCUUACUUCGUGCUGUGGAGGCCUGCAAGGUUCUAGGAAACGGAUUUGUCAACAAGCCCAACUAACAAAUAUCUAUCCUUGUGGAAAGUACAUUCUAUCCUAAGGUGGGGAAGGAGACAAUAAACAACUGCUAAACAAAGCUUUGUCCAGUAUCUAGGAAAACAGUAAUUACUGCGGUAAUAAGUUAAAUCAGACCAGCUAUUUUCGCGUGAGUGAUAAGGGAAAAUUUCCUUGAACCGAGACCCCAAACUAUUAUGAAUCAGCCAGUCUGGGAUUGGACCCAGAAAUCUGCGAGUCUCACAAGACCCCUCCGUGUUCAUGCACAGCAGUACAACAGGGGGUCCCACAGGUCACUGGAGCAGUCCUGGCCUCUGACAGGCUGCGUGCGAUCCACCUGCUCAAGACCCAACGGCCUGGAAUGUUGGCCAUCUCCAAAGCAGGGGUUAGAUACCCGACCUGAUGGAUGGAGGGCCAGUUGACUGAAAGUGCUUGGAAUUGCACCAGCCAGCAAGAGUGGGCUGCAGAAUUGGAACCAGGAGCGCUGGGGAAAGUACUGAUGGAGAUAACUGGGUCAGGAAAAUAUCCACGCUCACGGACACAAUUGGAAAUCAGCAGCCACAAUGAAGGAAGGAGGCAGUUUCCCUGUCAACCUGACCAUCAUAGAUACAAGGUGGGAAUGGCCAAUAGCACCAGACUCAGUCUGUCCUCACCAAGCUCCAGGACAGAAAAGCCCUGCCCUGAGGACUGGAGUGGAAAGAAUGAAGGACAAGACCUGGCCACUGCCCUAAGGAACAAAACUCCCUAUAGCAGAACAUUAUUCUCUUCAUG
rnacentral:lncRNA from 1 species